GGCCGGGUAGCGCGCAGUGAUACAAGACCCGCAAGGGAAAGGCUGCGGGCCGUCUGACGGCGGUGUUCAAGUACCUGGCCGCCCCUCU
rfam:Bordetella sp. SCN 67-23 ABS43_C0013, whole genome shotgun sequence.